rnacentral:sRNA from 1 species
CAGUGAUAUUCGCCUGUCGGCGAGUGAUAUUGCCCUUUGGGCAGUGAUAUUCGCCUGUCGGCGAGUGAUAUUGCC